GCUCGUGUCGUCUAGCGGUCCAGGACAACGCCCUUUCACGGCGUGAUGUUUAUCAUCUCGUGGGUUCGAAUCCCAUCACGAGUACCA
rnacentral:tRNA from 1 species